GGCAACUCUUUUGUAAACCGUUGUGGUAGGAUAUAUAAAAUCCCAAAAGAACGCAGCUCGAAAACAUAAAAUCCCAAAUUGAUUCUUGUUCUCAUAUUGGUUCAUCCCCAAAUUGAAUCUACUUCUCAAAAUCGAUUCCGGUCGAAAAGAAAACACAAACUAAACCCUAAUUCGUUUCGUUGUGUUGAUUGUGUUCACAAACUCAGAAAAUUGAUUCUUCUCCCUAAACUCAUGAACCCUAAUCCGUUCAGUUGAUGUGCUUACAGGUUUGUCGUCAAGUUGAUUACAUCUGUGUCUGUGUUUUUUGCCUUUUGAUAUCAUUAACUCCUCUUGCAGUAAAAACUGUUAACUAGUGAGUAUGUGGCAAAUUGCAAAAUAAUAUGCAAGAGGUAAUUUGAGUUUGUAUCAUUUUGUUUCAUGCUAUAAUAUCUAUGAGAAUUCUGCAUAAUUGGUACUGAUUAAGAUGCCUAUACUGAUUUGAGAUGAUUGAUUCUAUGAUCAUCUUUGUUAAAGAAUCAAGUUUUGUUGAACUUCAUAAGGGUACUUGUGUUUUUAAUGUGUUCUCACUUUAAUUUUUAUGUUCAAAUUUCAGAUCCAUUGAAGAUUGCUAUAGAUACAUAUACAAUUAACUCCUAUUAUAUAGUAUAAGCUCCUUUGUUUUUUAUUUUCUUCAUGUGUAUUAAUACAUAAAAGGUUUGUUUUGACAAUGAAUAAUAACAGGUUGGAUUCAUUGUGGAUUUUAUAUCUCAUGCUGCAAUUGUGAUUCGUCUUCAACAGUUGAAGGGACUCGCUGCCACGCUACACCACUAUAGCGCGCUAACAACACAGACCUGACUGAUUAAUAGCAUCAUGGCAAAGACAAGGUCUAAUAGUUUAUAAAAUCUUGACUUAAUUUUUUCUUCUUUUUUUUCCUCUUGAAGAUAUUAUGUUUCUUUCUUUCUUCCUCUUGAAUAUAUUGUAGUGUUUAUGUGGUUAAGAUUUUUGUCAAUUUUCAAGUUAAGGAAGAAACUUAGCACAACAACAUUAUUGUUUUUUAUUUUAGUUUUCUUGUGAUCCUGCUGUUUUAAGAUCAGGCAAAGCUCAUGUCUUAGUCUAUGGAAUGUAAGGAACAAUAGUUGAGGUAAAGCUUUAACUUGUCUAUAUGGUACCUCAAUUCUUACUUACAAUAUCCUUAAUUAAUUUGUUUUCUGCUUCUGCAUUGUUUUACUUUUUUGUUUUGGUUUUUCACAUCUUUUUUUUUGUUUAUCCUUUUAUGUUAAGAGAGUCUGAAAGUAAAGCUUUCACUCGAGCCGAAAGCUGAAAAAUGCUUUACAUGGAAAGGUCUAGAGUUAAGAGUAAAAUAAUCUGAUGAACUUAAAGCUGCUUGUGAACAAAGAGUUUCUACUGCAGAAGUUGAAACUUUAUGUAUAUUUCAAAUUUGAUUAAUGACUCAUUAUAUUAUUCUAUUCUAUUGUAUUUGAUUAAUAAUUCAAUGUAUUAUUUUAUUGUACGUGCUAGUAUCAAUGAAGCUGGGACUAAGUUUGGCACUCAUAAAUUUGCCUUCAUUGCAGUUGUUCUUGUUCAUGCAAAUUUCCCAUUGCAAUGAAUGCUGCAGAAACAAUUGACAAGUUUGGACUUCAUUCACCCCACUGGUGAAAAUAAUCCCAUGGUGGGUGUUGUCUUAACAAGUAUGGCUCUUAUGUAAAGGCGCAAAGGAAUUGAGCAACCAACAAAUUCGCUUGUGGUUCCAGAGAUGGUGAAUAAUGAUGAUAUCGAUGAAGAAAUGCAGGAUUUUGAAGAUAAAGAGAGAUCUAGAUGUUUAAGUUUUGUAAUAGGAUAUACAUUUUGAAGAUGUUAGUUUGAUUGCGAAUGAUUCACAUUAAGAUAUAUACAUUAAAGAUCCAAUAACUCUUUGCUGAUCAAUGAUAUUCUGAUAUAUUUGAAUGAAUGACAAUCAUUUUAUUUUAA